AUGAAGAUAGUGGACCAAAUCUCUGACCUGUUAAGGAGACCUAUCUAAAAAUCAAUCCUGAACAUGGAGGUGAUGAUUCCAUCACCAUUGGGUCUAUGCUGAAGAGUCCAACAAGCCAAGAGAAGG